rnacentral:misc_RNA from 1 species
CCGAGUUUACAACUCCCAAACCCCUGUGAACAUACCUAUAUGUUGCCUCGGCGGAUCAGCCCGCGCCCCGUAAGACGGGACGGCCCGCCGCAGGAUCCACAAACUCUGUUUUUAUUGUAACUUCUGAGUAACAAAACAAAUAAAUCA